GCAUUGCUUUUUCAGUGGUAGAAUUCUCGCCUACCACGCGGGUGGCCCGGGUUCGAUUCCCGGCCAAUGCA
rnacentral:tRNA from 1 species